AUUGAACGCUGGCGGCAUGCCUUACACAUGCAAGUCGAACGGCAGCACGGGAGCAAUCCUGGUGGCGAGUGGCGAACGGGUGAGUAAUGUAUCGGAACGUGCCCAGUCGUGGGGGAUAACGUAGCGAAAGCUACGCUAAUACCGCAUACGAUCUAUGGAUGAAAGCGGGGGAUCGCAAGACCUCGCGCGAUUGCAGCGGCCGACAUCAGAUUAGGUAGUUGGUGGGGUAAAGGCUCACCAAGCCGACGAUCUGUAGCUGGUCUGAGAGGACGACCAGCCACACUGGGACUGAGACACGGCCCAGACUCCUACGGGAGGCAGCAGUGGGGAAUUUUGGACAAUGGGCGCAAGCCCGAUCCAGCAAUGCCGCGUGCAGGAUGAAGGCCUUCGGGUUGUAAACUGCUUUUGUACGGAACGAAACGGCGAGCUCUAAUACAGUUUGCUAAUGACGGUACCGUAAGAAUAAGCACCGGCUAACUACGUGCCAGCAGCCGCCGUAA
rnacentral:rRNA from 1 species